rnacentral:tRNA from 12 species
GGUCGCAUGGCUCAGUUGGUAGAGCACAUCGUUCACAUCGAUGGGGUCACAGGUUCGAGUCCUGUUGCGACCACCA